CCAUAUCUAAAUGAAAAAUUUUGGUUUGUUUUGACUACAUCUAUACUGUUCUUGUGAUCUACUUCAGGGAAUAAUUGUUGCUUCCUCCAGCCAAUUACUCCAGAACAGUGUGCAUCCAUGCUGUUAAGGGGAUGGCUUACCCCUUCUAAAAUUGAUUCGGACAGCACUCAGUGUAUUACUGGCAAAGAACAUAUUCCGGAAGCUACUGUGCCUACUCAAUGCAAACACCCGUAAGCAUGCCACACUUACCAUCUGUCUGCCCUCGUGUGCCACAUGUCCACACCAUCUAGCUUGAAAAACAGCCAUAUGGAGCCAAACGCUGCUCAGUGGUCCUGGAGACAACAGGCUGCGUCUCCAGUUGCCACUGCUGCAUGCCCUGUGUGACAUCUUGUCAGAUCUGCCACUAAGCCAGACUUGUCCUCCUAUGAUCAAGGUCAGUCUUAGUUACAGGAUAUUAAUUCAUUAGCUUUCUCUUUCAGAAAUAUCCUUGAAGAGGAAACACAGGCAGCUGUUGGUCAUGUAUGGAGAAAUACAGUGUUGCACGGUGGCUCAUGGAACCCAAAACUAGACACAGCACUUCAGAUGUAGUCUUCUGGACUACAGAAUGUAAGGAUCACUUCUGCUGACUUGCUCCUUGCUGCCAGGGUGUACUGCUGGCUUGCAUUCAGCUUUCUGUCCACUGGGGUACUCAAGUCCUUUACUCCAGAGCUGCUUCAGUCAGCCGCAUCCUGCACAGUUGCACAGGGCUUUUUUUUUUCAACCCAGCAGCAGUACUUCAGAUUUGCUUUCACUGAACUUUGCGAAGUUCCUGACAGUUCAUUUGUCUAGCUUGUCCGGAGUGCUCUAAAUAGCAGCUCUCUCCAUUUUAAGUCACUCACAAACUUGAUGAAGAUAUACUUCAUCCCAUCAUCCAGGUCAUUAAUGAAUACAGUCCCAGUACUGACUCCUGACAGAUGUAAUCCAACUGAAGUCACAGGCCACCAGCUGUGCCAGACAGUUCCUUCCUUUUGUUUCAUAUGCUACCCACAUUGGUGUACAGCCAUUUGAAAUUCAUCCUGACCUGUGCUGCUUUUAGAAUGGAUGUGUGAAAGCCUGCCUUGCCAUGCUGUGCCUCUAGACAUAUCUGUUCUGGUUUUUGCUCUCUCAUUCCUCUCUAGGCUGCGGUACCCAUUACCUGGCAUACAUGCAGUCCUCCUCUCUAGGUCAGUAAGCCUGUUUGCCCACUGAAUAGUCCCUGCUCCUCAGAAAGUCUGCCUGUGACACCUGCCAGUUAGCUUGGUUCUGACCAACUGGAUGCAGUGACUUCCACUAGAACUUUUCCCUUCACAUAAAGUACUGAGGGGAGAAUCGCCAGGCCACCUGCCCCUAACCUCGCCCUUGCAGUCACUCUAGACGGACUCCACGAUGACCCUGCCGGCACCACUGGCGAGCAUCCAAAAGAGCUGCGAAGGAGAAGCUCAGGGGCUGGCCAAGUCUCACCACUCCUCUGUAACAUCCCUGACGCGGGUCACUGGUGGUGACUGCAAGCAUUUGGACCCGUCCCGUGCAAGAGCGGAUCUCCAAAAGCCGUCAUUUGCCUUUUCCUCCUUGCGCGGGAACCAGGCGGCAGUCCCCAGCGCUGCAGCCCGCUGAACACCGAGCUGCCGGAAGCAUCUUCCAGCCCGGCCCGCGGACAGCGCGAGGAUCACGUGCGCAACACCGCCCUGCGCGGACCUUGACGCGGCGCCUCAGCCAACACGUGCUGCUCUUUCCCGCCCGGCCCCAACCGCCGCCCGCACGCGCUGUGCCAUCUGCCGCUCGCACGCGCCGCGCUAACGGCUGUCCGCACGCGCAGCCCGCCCAGCCCAUCCCGGCCCGCUGCAUAUCGGCGGCGGCACUUCUUUCCGUCGGUGCCGGCAGCCGGGCUCACCUUUCCACCCCCGCGGGUGGCUGCCGGCAUGGGCGCGCGCGUGCCUGAGUGGUUCUCGAAUGCCCGUAGGGCGUAGGCGUCUGUAGCCUGGGGGCAGCGCGGAGGAGCCCCACGGAGGUGUGUUGCCCCAUGUUGAGACGUCCUGAGAGCCCGCCUCAUGCAGGAUCGGGGCUGCGGGAAGAGAGGGCUGCUCCUGGCUUCCUUGUGGUCCGCUCACAUCUCUCCUAUGUCAGGAGGCAUCACGUGCUAUAAAUACUACCCACACCAGCAUGCUUGCCAGAGAAUUGAGGAAAGAAAAUUUCUUGAUCAGAUUGUUUUUCCAGUGCCCCCUGAAGAAGAUCCAUUAUUCAGGGUAUCACUUCAGAAGCACAAGAAACCGUGACAAAAAUUUUCAAUUUUGAGUGGGGACUGCAAAGAACCAAGGCAAAUGGAGAGAAGGAAGUGGUACAUAAAGCAAGACGUGGCAGAAUAUCUCUGUGCACUCACUCAGUGCCAUGGGUUUUUAAACUCAAGAUUCUGACAUAUGAAGCAGUUUCUCCCAGAAAAUUCCCAAAACAAAGAUCAUC